UAAGCAAGGAAGGUAGUCGCAGAAGGUAAUAGACCUUUUGAGGAAAGUCCGGACUCCAUAGGAGCAGGAUGCUUGGGAAAUCCAAGCGAGGGUAACCUCAGGGAAAGUGCCACAGAAAAUAGACCGCCAACUAAAAGUUGGUAAGGGUGAAAAGGCGGCGUAAGAGACCACCAGAAACCUUGGUGACAAGGUUUUGCUUGGUAAACCCCAUCCGGAGCAAGGCCAAAUAGGGUAACUAAGAGUUGCUCCGCUCAUGUUACCGGGUGAGCUGCUUAGAUAAAUGACUACCAUGUGCUUUUUUGCACAUACAGGAUCUGGCUUAUUCCUUGCUUAGGGC
rnacentral:RNase_P_RNA from 1 species